UUAAAAAUUUAUGAUUAUCUUCCCAAAUUUAUGAUUUUUCAAAUUAACAUUUAUUUUCAAGUUCAUGGUUUUUCAUUUUUUGUGUGAACUUUGUUUUAAUUUAUGAUUUUUAAAAAAUUUAUGAACUUCUCGCCAGGAGCCUUAACUGGAACACCAUGGUUGCAUAGUUUGAUUAGUUGAUUCAGUUUGGGUUUUUGACGAUGUUUGUCUCUCUAGACAGGAGGUGUUGCUCGUUUGCACUUGUUGCUGGUGAUGACAAGGCCAUCCAUUUCCACUUAUCUGGACAUGGACCUCCUCAACCUGGAGCGAACGACAUCCUUGCAUCUUUUCUGCCCGCAAGGAAAGAUCUCGGGUGAAUCUGAAGCGUUGUAUUCCAUUUCCAAGCGAGGCGAGAGAGCUAGUUCACGGUGCCUCGACAGCCAAAGUGCCUCUGAAACGUGAACCGUGAAGUGAUAGUGCUGAUAACUGCUGGUAGGGAGAAGACGUGGAAAAUGCAAUGGACUACACGACAUGAGAUGCUGCCACUAAUUAAGCUGCAUAUACGUACUGUUAUGCUGCAAUUGGCUAUCACGUUCAGCUUCCAAGUUCUCUGCUGGCUGGUGGCCUCUGAUACGGUGUAAUGUGAAGCUGAGACCUGAGAGGGAUCUUGUCAUUUCUCGGCUGUGAAUGGAAGAGGCAUUGAUCUUGGGGCUUCAAUGUAAGGGAGGCGAGUAGCAAGCUGCAAUCCUGUUUAAAGAUCUCUGAAGGAGUUUCACUUGUUGAACCAGAUGAAAAAUACGGUUCUUGGGGAACGCCAUGGAUUGGCAAUUCCGAAUACAUACUUACUCUGUUUCUGGUACUCUGUUUUUCCAGAGAUGAUUAGUUGCUCUCAAAUUCUUCCUGCCAUUAUGUAUGAGCUUGUUUAUAAAUGAAAAAUGCUGAUUGUACCUAUUGUGGUCCCAUUUCUGUAAGAAAUUUGAGUGGAUGAAAUAAUACACCUGCUAUAUAUGUUAUUAACUCUGCGAUGUUCAUCGGUUUUGCUUUGCAAAUUGCCAGCAAAAAGGCCUCGUGACUGUACCCAACGUCCUAAGUUGUUUGUUGGGAGGAGCAGUGUUUUCCAUUCAUUGUUAGUGACCAUGUUUGCACACUGUCAGAAGUUCCACAGACUGCGAGCCUGGCGGCUAAACUGAGUAGUCAGCAGACUGACUGAGAUACAGACCGGGCAAUCGCGAGGCUCAUUUAUGUAUCCCUCAAGCUUUGUGCUCAGUAUGCCAAUCGUAGAUAUAAUUAGUGUUUACAAGAGCAUGAACAUAAAAGAGCAACAAUCUUUGUACAGGCCAUGUCCAGUAACCAUUAGAGCAC